CUUCUUAUUGCCUUACCUAGCGGCGAGUGAAGCGGCAAAAGCUCAAAUUUGAAAUCUGGCUCUUUCAGAGUCCGAGUUGUAAUUUGAAGAAGGUAUCUUUGGGUCUGGCUCUUGUCUAUGUUUCUUGGAACAGAACGUCACAGAGGGUGAGAAUCCCGUGCGAUGAGAUGAUCCAGGCCUAUGUAAAGUUCCUUCGAAGAGUCGAGUUGUUUGGGAAUGCAGCUCUAAGUGGGUGGUAAAUUCCAUCUAAAGCUAAAUAUUGGCGAGAGACCGAUAGCGAACAAGUACAGUGAUGGAAAGAUGAAAAGAACUUUGAAAAGAGAGUGAAAAAGUACGUGAAAUUGUUGAAAGGGAAGGGCUUGAGAUCAGACUUGGUAUUUUGUAUGUUACUUCUUCGGGGGUGGCCUCUACAGUUUAUCGGGCCAGCAUCAGUUUGGGCGGUAGGAGAAUUGCGUUGGAAUGUGGCACGGCUUCGGUUGUGUGUUAUAGCCUUCGUCGAUACUGCCAGCCUAGACUGAGGACUGCGGUUUAUACCUAGGAUGUUGGCAUAAUGAUCUUAAGUCGCCCGUCUUGAACACCGGGGCACCA
rnacentral:rRNA from 1 species